AAUGAAUAUAUUUAUUUUGAAAGAUAGAUUUUUAAUAAUAAUAAAUAAAAAAAAAACACAAACUUCCUAUUUUGUGCUAAAAUUCUAAAAAAAAUCCGAACUCCCGCCCAACUUUGGGCGCCAGCGCUUAUUGGAAAAGGAGAACCAAACAGGUGCAAUAUCUUAAAAACCUUAUACCAAACAGGUGCAAUAUAUUUUUAGGUUAAAUCAUUUCAGCCGCCCCCCAAUCGCCUCCAUGUCUAUUCUCGUUCUCACUGAACUUCGGGCCCCCUCUCUCUGCAACUGCAAACUACAAAAUCUACAAGAAUCAGAAGUUCAAAAUCCAAAUAUUUCAGUUUAUCUAUCUGUCUGCAAGAAUCAAAAGUUGAAAACCUAUUACCUAUAUCAAAACCCAUAUCGGCAUAUCAUCUCAGAUUGUUCAAAAAAUCGAAACCUCCAUCGCCCACUGUUCCAGUUCGGGUUCACCGUUCGCAAGCUUCAGCCGCUGGCCCGCUGUCUCUCAACUCUCUAGCUUGCCCCCAUCUCUCUCUGCAACCGCUAACUUUGUAAUCUUGAGGCAUUCAGUGGUUCGAUUGAAGCCCUAACAUACCCCAGUUUGAUUGGUGGCCCUCACCUGAGGGCUCUCAGGAAACCUAGCGGCCAACUUCACCUCUCAACUCUGUCCUCUCGCCGGCAACAAUCAUGGAUUUGAAAGACUAAUUGGUAAAUUUGGGUUGAACUUGAGUCUUGAACAAGCUUAAGAUAAAGUAAAUCAGGGUGCUAAGGAGAAGGUAAAGGAUACGGAAGAAAAUACGGAAAGGCCAAGGCAGAUUGAAUGCAAGGUUAUUAUUCUUACAAUUAUAUAUAUGCAUUUCUCUUUUAAAAUUGUGAAGAAUCAUAAGAUUUUCUUUUAUGAUUGGUUCUUGCUAACUUUGAUGAUUGUGUUUUUUGUGGCUAGCUGAGAAUUAGUUUUUGCUGUUUCAGCAGAACACUUAAUGGGAGGAUUAAGAGGUUUGAUUUUGAGAAUCUAGAAAUGUGCCUUGUAACCGGAGUUGCUUUAUUUUUUUUUUUUUUGAGUAUAACUGGAGGUAUUUAAUUCUUAAUCAACUUUAACCAUAAAGCACAAAGUAACUGGGUUUUCAGGUUACGCCUUUGUCAUAUACUUAUGUACCCAUACCUCAUGAACUCUUAUGAUUAUGCUGGGGCUGUUUUACAUGCUUGCCUUUGAUGGCUAAUUAGUAAAGUUUUUAGCUGCAUGCUGAAACUUAAUAAUGUUAAAGAAUGGCUUUACCAAUUAUGGGCUCUGUAAUCAAGUUUGCUGGGAGGAAUGAAUGGGUACACACCUAUAUUUUUAUUUUUACUAAGUGGUUGCUCGAACUGAAAUUCAGUAAUGUAUUACUCAAUAUAACAAGUACAGUAAGCAUGUUUGGGUAUCUAGGAGUUCCUUUAAACCCAUGGCUCUUUUAGUAGUAGAUUAAUAGUUUUGUUUACUGCACAACUUUUUUCUAUGACUAUUUUUGCUUGUGGAAAAUAGUUUCAACUCAGUUAAUAUAUAUUAUUUGGUUUAUAAAGUAAUGGAAUACAUGGACGAAAUGGAAUUUGAAAAUUGGUUUCAUAUAGCCAACUUUAAUAGUUGAAAAUAGAGUUGGUUUGUUGAGUUGAGAUGUUAUAAAAUAUUUAACUAGGAAAAAAAAAUGUUAUAAAAUAUUUAGUAUUGAUAAAUUACUUGCUUUUUAUUCCAAUCCCAAGUAUUAUUCUAAAUUUUAUUAGGAGAAAACUUUGACAAUCUUAUGCUUUACUAUUUGUUUGAGGACACAUACCUACACCCAAUACGUGCAGCUGAGUCCAGGUGACAUAGCUUAAGUGUAGAGAAGAAGUUGGAAGCUUCAGCAAAUAUUGUGGGAGAGGGACAUCUUGUUCCCUUAUAAUCAAAUCCUAGUUAAAUGCUCAUAUUGGAAGUAUUAACUGCUAAGGCUAAUUUCUAGCCAAGUAGCCAGGCAUGAACCCAGAAUACUGGAAAUCUUCAAUUGUUAUUAUUACCCCCAUUGCCAUCUUUUCUUUCAGCUUUCAUUGGUCUUCUUUGUUGGUUUUAUUAGGUAUUAUCUUUGAGAAGAUUUUUGUCCUUUACUAUUAUUCCUUCUUCACUUUUUCUUGACAAGUGAAAUUUCUAAUAAGAAUUUGGCUGACAAUUAUUUCAAAUGCACUCUAGAACAUACAAGGGGAGAAAAAUUAUACCAAAAUGCAAGGAUGCAUACAAAAAUACAGUAGGAUAGAAGUGGGUUAUGCGUACUCUCGACCUUGAUUGAGCCUGGGAAUAACUAGAGCAAUCAGUUCACUUCAUUUUCAGUGUCUUUUUGAAUGCCUUGUUAAUCUUUAUGUCUAUACAAAGGAGCUAGUAUUUUUAGUUGAAAGGCAAACUCAUACCUCUAAAUUUUACUGACUAGCUCCAAGACUCAAAUGACAACUGAAAGAUGCGGGUAUGUGGAGGCCUUAGGAUAUCACUAGGAUGCAUGAAUUGUUUUCAGACAGAGGAAUUUACAAUCGUCAUGCCCCUCAUGCUUUCGCACUGAAAAGUUUUUUUUUUUUGGGUAUUAAUUUUGUGAGCAAACCCCUCUCCUUAACUGAUGAUUCGUGGGCAAAACAUAAUAAAGCUUGGAUCAUUUAAUUUGGGAUCAUGAACUUAACUCAAUAAAGCCUUAGCUCCCAAUUACUGGGGUACCAUUUAAUUUGGAAUUGUGUACUUUUGGAGGGAGGUGUGUGAGUAUCAAUUAGGAAAAAAAAAAUAGAAUUGUGUACUUAAUUCAAGAAGCCUCGGCCAAUUGAUUGUGUUAAGCUGCAUAAAUCAUUUUAAACCCAAUCUAGAGUGAUAUCCUACAUUUUUAUGGAACCAAAUAUAUGGGCAAAUGUUGAUAGAAUGUUUCAAUAAGGUUUUUCACGUUUUCUCAAUUAUUUUUCUUUUUUAUGUUUGAAUAUGCAAUGUAAAAGAUCCAUAGGCAUUAGUUCAUCCCUCAGACUAGUUCAUCUAUGUUACGGUAGUUUUUAGCAAAGGGCUAAGGAACCUUGGACUUGGGGCAAAAUUUAGUAUUUGUAAUCAUUCCAAACAUGUUGGCUUUUGUAUUAAUGUGAAUUGUUUAAGAUAUUUUUUUGUGCUUCUUUAAUAAUUAUUUGUUAUCUUGUGGUUUGUUAUUUGGUUUGUAUUUUUGCAUUCUUAGUGUGUAAAAAAGGCCUUAAAAAUAUGAGAAGACCUUGUAGAAACUUAAAUUUGUUGUAGUGGUUUGAAUUAAUCAUAAUUUUUCUAUUUUUUUGACAGAUUGCAUGUGGCUGGGAUUAUCUUUUUGACUUUUUGUUGCAGGCCCAUUAACUAUAUUUUUUGUUUCAUAUUGGCUCAGGAUAAAUUAACUUUUGUACUUUUGGUUCUUACAUGGGAUUGGAUUUAUGGAUCUCCCAUCUCCCCAUUGUUGGCAGAUGACAUGUAGAUGGUAUUAGUUUUUGUUAUAGUCCCAUUGAUUAUGUUUUUUUUGUUUCAUAUGGGCUUAGGAAAAAUUCACUUUUGGAUCUCCUAAUAUUGUUGGAUAUAGGUUUAAUCAUUCUCUAUGUAUAUGAAUCUUGUCUUGAUGUCAUAUUUGGAUUAUGUAUGGAUGAUUGGAUAUAUGAAAUAGUAUUUUAUUUUUUCAUUUGUAAAA